rnacentral:snRNA from 1 species
GCACAUAUACGCAGCACAUAUACUAAAGUUGGAAUGAUACAGAGAAGAUUAGUAUGACCCCUGCUCAAGGAUGACACACAAAUUUGUGAAGCACUCCAUAUUAAA